UGCGGUUUCUCUCCUCGUAAGGCAGGGAUGGUCCCCAGAAGCCUAACAGACAAGUAACUAAGGCAGAAUGAAGAUCUGCUUUCCCAACUGUUCCAGAGAUGUCCCACAGCUGUUUCUCAUUGGCGUUACUUGGAUGAUGUGCUCAUCGCUGGAUCUGGGGAAGGGGUGGACCCCGACCAAUCGGUCCACGUAAGAGAAGGGAAGGUGGCUUCCAAAAGAAAACUGAGAAGGGAAAUGAAUGUCCCUCGGGUGUUCUAUGGACACAGAGCCCCAGUGAGGAGCCGUCCUGCUGCCACCAGGGCCAUGGGGCCCAGCUGGGGUGGCCAGGGGAGCACCUCGGAGGGCCCUGUUGGAAGCAGAUCCCUGGGGGACGGUAGUGAAGUCGAGGCACCUCGGGGACAGAGCCGAGGCAGAUCCAUGGUGACACACAGGUGGCCCUGCAGAGACAGUGCCAGAGAGCCAGGACAUGGCCGGGGGGGCGGGAAGCUGCGGCUGGGCGAGGACCUUCAGGGGACAUGGCAGGGAAGGUGGCCUGUGAGGGGCGGUGAGCAGCUGCCCAGGGCAGGAGGAGAGGCUGGCCUGGCUCUGCGGGGACCUGCCCCUGUCCCCCCACCCCAUUCUCACUUCCUGUUUUCUGUUCUUCCAAGGUAACAAGCUCUUUCCCACCUGGGGCCACCGGGGCCACCGUGCUUACUGUCCCCUCUGCCCGGGCACCUGUUCCUGAGAACAUGGGGAGUCUGCCACUUCCUCUCUCGGCAACUGUCUUGUCACGGCCCAGUUGUGGCCAGAGCUGUCACUCCGGUGCCCACAAACGGUGGCACAGAGGAGGUCCGCAGAGCUCUGGAGACCCAGGAGCCCAGGGACCCUUGCCAGGCACCGAAUGGCAGCCUUGCUCCUUUGUCCCCCAGUACAUGGCGCCCUCGGUCUCCUCCCCCCAUCAGUGUGACAAUAGCCCAAGCCACCGAAGAUCCCCCCCAUGAGGGACUCGGGGCCUGGCGCUCGGCUGAUAGUGGGUGUCCUCCAGGAGUCCCCGUGUCAUCAGCACCAGGACGGCUGAGAUCUUGUCACCACCUCAGGGAUGCCGGGGACUCUCAGGGGUCAUCUGCUUGGGCCGCAGUGUCCAGAUUCCAGCCACGGUUGUGUGACAGUCCCCGCUCUGGGCUCUUUCUGUCUCUGUAAAAUGGGGCUGUCCUUCCCUCCCUCUCCCUCUCCUUCCCUCCCUCUCCCUCUCCUUCCCUCCCUCUCUCUCUCUCUCUCUCUCUCUCUCUCUCUCUCUCACACACACACACACACACACACACACACACACACACACACACGCGCCGUCUAGUGCGGGUUCUGGGCUGAUUUACGAUGUCAUCACUCAGCCAGAGGGAGCCCGGGAGCUUUCCCGCAGGACACGUGACCUCCCUGAUGGCCUGAGUCCGGCCUCAGCCCCAGCCCUCCCCAGCCCCCCCUCAGCUCCAGGGUCCUGCAGGGAGGAUGGGGACAGCAAGCCCGGCCCGGUGCUCCCCCUCCCACCUGCGCUGUCACCAGGUGGGGCCCCUGGAUGGCAAGGACGCC
rnacentral:lncRNA from 1 species